GCUGUUUUGAACGGCUAAUUACUCAUGACGCGCCGCGUAGGUGACAAAAAACGUUGGCAAGUUGCAGAAGAAUAAUGAACGGCGCGCGGCGUCUAGCGGCAUGACCGGGUCACGGCCAGUGUGCGGCUAGCCGACCACGCUUUGCCGUAUUUUCUUCUCGUUUUCCAGUCUGAAACAAAAUGUCCUCAACUUUCAAGGUCUUGAAUAAUUCUGAGUUUGAGUAAGUCAAUUCUACUGGUAGUCGUUUUCCAUUUUGCUUUGUUUUAACCUGCACCGCUAGUAACUGUACGUUUCUUCUGAGUUCGCAACCAGCAUCCUAGCGCUUCCUUGCAUUUGGUUAUUAUACCCCGUAUUUGACUUGGUAUACAUGAGUAUACAUGACGAAAGUAAAUCUUCAGUUUUGUCAUUUCUCCUUUGCAGAGCUGAUUUUCAGUAUGUAUAUGCGCUAUUAAACGUCACCGAGACGCAACUUUUUUAUUAUCUAUGUUUCUGUUUCUUUGCACUCUCAUCCACUAUGGAACAAGUGAUAUGCAAAAAGUUCAAAAAGUUUACGGAGUCUAGAGAAAAUGGACCGUCGCAACCAAUUAAUCCUUUUAUAGAAUCAAUAUGUCAAAAAGGUGACUCUGUAGGGAAGUGAAAAUUCGCAUGCGUUUCAGAUGGCUCCAAACCAUGAUCUCAAACCAUCUCUCAACUGGUCCAAAGUGCAUUGGCUG
rnacentral:lncRNA from 1 species